rnacentral:rRNA from 1 species
AUUGAACGCUGGCGGCAGGCUUAACACAUGCAAGUCGAGCGGGGUGAUGGUGCUUGCACUAUCACUUAGCGGCGGACGGGUGAGUAAUGCUUAGGAAUCUGCCUAUUAGUGGGGGACAACAUCUCGAAAGGGAUGCUAAUACCGCAUACGUCCUACGGGAGAAAGCAGGGGAUCACUUGUGACCUUGCGCUGAUAGAUGAGCCUAAGUCGGAUUAGCUAGUUGGUGGGGUAAAGGCCUACCAAGGCGACGAUCUGUAGCGGGUCUGAGAGGAUGAUCCGCCACACUGGGACUGGAACACGGCCCAGACUCCUACGGGAGGAAGCAGUGGGGAAUAUUGGACAAUGGGGGGAACCCUGAUCCAGCCAUGCCGCGUGUGUGAAGAAGGCCUUAUGGUUGUAAAGCACUUUAAGCGAGGAGGAGGCUCUUUUGGUUAAUACCCAAGAUGAGUGGACGUUACUCGCAGAAUAAGCACCGGCUAACUCUGUGCCAGCAGCCGCAGUAA